AUUAGACGAAUCAUCUGGAAAGAUGAAUCAAAGAAGGUAAUAAUCCUGUAGUCGAAAAUGUUGUCUCUCUUGAGUGGAUCCUGAGUACGACGGAGCACGUGAAAUUCCGUCGGAAUCUGGGAGGACCAUCUCCUAAGGCUAAAUACUCUCUAGUGACCGAUAGUGAACCAGUACCGUGAGGGAAAGGUGAAAAGCACCCCGGAAGGGGAGUGAAAUAGAACCUGAAACCGUGUGCUUACAAGUAGUCAGAGCCCGUUAAUGGGUGAUGGCGUGCCUUUUGUAGAAUGAACCGGCGAGUUACGAUUUGAUGCAAGGUUAAGCAGUAAAUGUGGAGCCGUAGCGAAAGCGAGUCUGAAUAGGGCGUUUAGUAUUUGGUCGUAGACCCGAAACCAGGUGAUCUACCCUUGGUCAGGUUGAAGUUCAGGUAACACUGAAUGGAGGACCGAACCGACUUACGUUGAAAAGUGAGCGGAUGAACUGAGGGUAGCGGAGAAAUUCCAAUCGAACCUGGAGAUAGCUGGUUCUCUCCGAAAUAGCUUUAGGGCUAGCCUCAAGUGAUGAUUAUUGGAGGUAGAGCACUGUUUGGACGAGGGGCCCCUCUCGGGUUACCGAAUUCAGACAAACUCCGAAUGCCAAUUAAUUUAACUUGGGAGUCAGAACAUGGGUGAUAAGGUCCGUGUUCGAAAGGGAAACAGCCCAGACCACCAGCUAAGGUCCCAAAAUAUAUGUUAAGUGGAAAAGGAUGUGGCGUUGCCCAGACAACUAGGAUGUUGGCUUAGAAGCAGCCAUCAUUUAAAGAGUGCGUAAUAGCUCACUAGUCGAGUGACACUGCGCCGAAAAUGUACCGGGGCUAAACAUAUUACCGAAGCUGUGGAUUGUCCUUUGGACAAUGGUAGGAGAGCGUUCUAAGGGCGUUGAAGCAUGAUCGUAAGGACAUGUGGAGCGCUUAGAAGUGAGAAUGCCGGUGUGAGUAGCGAAAGACGGGUGAGAAUCCCGUCCACC
rnacentral:rRNA from 1 species